AUGCCCAGUCAUGUUGCUCAAGCGUACACUAGGCAUUGUUGGAGCAAGAUAAUUGGACAAAGACAGAAUGAUUAGAGUGGGGGUGGAACAGAGAAUUAAAGUGACAGGUGACAGAAGAUCAGAAUGGUCUUGCUGACGUUCAGUUGCUUUGCAAUGUGUCACCCAAUCUGCAAAUAUUUUUUUCUGAUGUAGAGGAGACCCAUCAUGUGCACUAAACUGUAGUACUCUAAACUGGAAGAAGUGGGUGGUAAAUCUAUUGAAUUCUUUGAUACAGAAAACUGUGGAGGCACAGUCAGUUGAUAUAUUUAAGGCAGAGAUAGAUAAGGUUGCAGGAGCCAUUUAUAUUUAGGUUAGCUACUGUUGGCAUAUUAUAUUAUUUUGCCUCGAUAAAUCUUGCAGUAUUAUUUUGGACACGGGUCAUUAGAUGCACAGAGGGGAGUAUAUAUAUGGGCAUAGUCGACAGGGACUGGUGGACCAGGCAUAGGUAUUAAUUAACCAUAGGUGGAGGGCAUACAGUUCUCAAUCGACUGGAAAAUCUGUUCUAUUUGCUCUGUAUAAGAUCACUCCUACUUACCUGUGUAGUAAUGGCAAAGGAAAGUUGGACACUGGAAGAGUCGGAAAUUUGCCAUCACAUUUAAGUGGAAACCUCGAAAGCCAACGCGCAGGGAGAGUGAGUAUGUACAGCAUUAAGCUUUAUUGUAGAAGUUAUAUAUGAUGAGCUGUAUUGGAAAACGGCUACUAAAGUGGAGAAUUGAAAAGUAACCUCGAGAUAUCAGUUGUUUGAAAUAACAGCCGCAGACAUACGGCUUUCACGUUAAAGAGUCUCAAAGGGAUAGUGAACAAGUAUGCCCGUGGUCAAAGCUAAAGCUCAGUCACAAGAUGGCGAUGUUGGACAGGAUUCUGAAAAGGAAAUAAGAGUUACUAAACGCACUGACAAACGCUUGGAAUUGUUCAGGGAAAAGUGUCAGAAGACAAGAAACUCGAUAUGUAAACAAGAUAACAAGUUCAUUGAAAAGCUAAGAGAGCUCAUGAAAUCAGAGGAAAAUCCAAAUUAAGGACAAUCUAAUCUGGUUCAAUUAAUUAAGCUCUGUGAUGAAGUCAGAGAAAACCACAAGUUAUUGGUGAAGGUACCACUGCUAGUAAAGGAGCUUGAAAGGCAAAAUCAGUGGUUUUAACAAAGAAUGGAAACUUUUAAUGGUUUUAUACAAGAUGUAGAGGUGUGGUUAUCUGAAAUUGGACAGCAAACUACACACUCCUUAGCUGAAGGUGCCAUACAACAGAGUGUUGUAAACUCAGAAGAAAUUAGAUCCGAUGACAGUGUUUCAAAUGUCUCAAAACUAAAAUGAAGCCACAAAUCUAGUUCUUCAUCAUAUGCAUUUUUAACGGCCUCUGCUCAUAUUAAAGCUCAGGCACAUGAGGCUGCUCUCUUAGAACGGGUUGCCACCAUGAGCAAAAGCAUGAGCUUGAGGCACAAGAAGAACAAUUGGAAA